rnacentral:tRNA from 1 species
CGCCAGGUGACUGAAAGUAAGUGUAGAUCUUUUAAGUCUAAAAUGGUAUAGUUACGCCUACUUCUGGUGA